rnacentral:rRNA from 1 species
GACGAACGCUGGCGGCGUGCUUAACACAUGCAAGUCGAACGGUGAAGCGCCUUCCUUUUUGGUGGGUGUGGAUGAGUGGCGAACGGGUGAGUAACACGUGAGUAACCUGCCCCCUUCUUCUGGAUAACCGCAUGAAAGUGUGGCUAAUACGGGAUAUUCUGGGUCUGUCGCAUGAUGGGUCUGGGAAAGAUAUUGUUUCGGUGGGGGAUGGGCUCGCGGCCUAUCAGCUUGUUGGUGGGGUGAUGGCCUACCAAGGCGGUGACGGGUAGCCGGCCUGGGAGGGUGGACGGCCACACUGGGACUGAGACACGGCCCAGACUCCUACGGGAGGCAGCAGUGGGGAAUAUUGCACAAUGGGCGCAAGCCUGAUGCAGCGACGCCGCGUGAGGGAUGGAGGCCUUCGGGUUGUGAACCUCUUUCGCCAGUGAAGCAGGCCUGCCUCGUUUGUGGGUGGGUUGACGGUAGCUGGAUAAGAAGCGCCGGCUAACUACGUG